UACGUAGGGUGCGAGCGUUGUCCGGAAUUAUUGGGCGUAAAGGGCUCGUAGGCGGUUUGUCGCGUCGGGAGUGAAAACCCAGGGCUUAACCCUGGGCUGGCUUCCGAUACGGGCAGACUAGAGGUAUGCAGGGGAGAACGGAAUUCCUGGUGUAGCGGUGAAAUGCGCAGAUUUCAGGAGGAACACCGGUGGCGAAGGCGGUUCUCUGGGCAUUACCUGACGCUGAGGAGCGAAAGUGUGGGGAGCGAACAGG
rnacentral:rRNA from 1 species